CAAGAUGGUAGCACCCAGCGGUGCCAUGAGCGACUCGGAGAGCAGCAGCAGUGACAGCAGCGAUGCCGAGGAGUUGGCGCGGUGCCGCGAGGCGGCAACGCCCGCCUGGGGGCUGGAGCAGCGCCCGCGGGAAGCGGAGAGACCCGCAGCCGGUACUGCAGAUACACAGGCGCCAGCCCCCCAGCCAAGCCGCAGGUACUGUGUGCUCUGCACAGAAGCUUCAUUGAGCCAUUCAGCACCACUGGUCCCCCCUGUGCAUGCCAGACGCUAGGCGUGAGGUGAACCAGCAUGAUGAAGAUGGCAACGAACUUCAGACCACUCCUGAGUUCCGAGCCUACGUGGCCAAGAAACUGGGAGCACUGCUGGACAGCUCCAUUGCUAUCGCAGAAGUAUGGAAGAAGACCCAGCAGGCCAGGUUGCAGCAGGAGGCCAAGGAGCAGCAGGAGGCCAAGGAGCAGCAGGCGGCCAAGGAGGAGCAGGCAGCCAAGAAGGAGGAAGACGGCUUCCGCCUUUUCUUCACAUCUGUCCCCGGAGGCCAUGAAAAGGAAGCUUCUCCAAGACCCUGCCGAAAGCGCCAGCCCCCCAGCUCCAGUGAGGACAGUGACGAGGAAUUGCAGCGGUGCCGGGAGGCAGCUGUGUCCGCUUCAGAUAUUCUCCAGGAGUCAGCCAUACACUGCCCUGCCAAGGUCGAGAAGGAGGCCGAGAAGAAGAAGUUGAAAAAGAAAGCCAAGAAGAAGGCAGACGCUGACCUGGCUGCAGCCACAGGUCUGGAACAGGUAAAGGAGGCGGGUAGCGUCAAUGGGGACCCAGUGUUGUCUGGGACCAAAAAGAAAAAGAAGAAAAAGGCCAAGAAAGCUAGAGAGGCUUCCCUGUGCCCACCAGCAGAGUGUGCAGCGGCUGAGCCUAAGAACUGACUGCAGGCUGUAGGUAGGUCCUGAGGUCACCAGCUCUGAGGAUACUAACCCAGGGGGUUAGGGCAGAGCCAAGCCACACUCCGUUUCCAGCUUCCCGCACUGACUGCCCGCAGGUGACUUUAGUUGGGCUUGCCCAAGAGUGCAAGCAAAGGAGUGGGUAUAUGGGGGGGAAGUCUGUGCAAGGCUGGAAUGGACUUGUGGUUCCAGAACAUUCCAUCGCCUCAGGAAGUACGACUCUUCCAGCUUUUGAGACUGAAUCUCACAGCAUCCAUCUUCCCGACCUGUGCAGCCUCGGAUGACAGUUGUCUUCGAGAAUGAUGGGGAGGGGUCUUCAAGCUACUGAGGCCCCAGAAAACUUCUGUACCUCCCCCCCAACCCAUACAGACUUAAUAGCAUUGUCUGGAAGAGAAGGAAAGAUAUCCCCCACCUCCUUCUCCCCCACAUUUGUGUGUAACGUGUUAAUUUGUUAAUAACACAGGUAAACCAUUUCACUCUCUGAAAACCAGGUGCCAGAGCACUGAGCACCUACUUAGUGGAAGGAAAGAGAAAAAGGGAAAUAAAUUAUCAGGUGACCCAG
rnacentral:lncRNA from 1 species